rnacentral:rRNA from 1 species
UACGGAGGGGGCUAGCGUUGUUCGGAAUUACUGGGCGUAAAGCGCACGUAGGCGGCUUUGUAAGUUAGAGGUGAAAGCCCGGGGCUCAACUCCGGAAUUGCCUUUAAGACUGCAUCGCUAGAAUUGUGGAGAGGUGAGUGGAAUUCCGAGUGUAGAGGUGAAAUUCGUAGAUAUUCGGAAGAACACCGGUGGCGAAGGCGGCGACCUGGUCCUUGACUGACGCUGAGGCGCGAAAGCGUGGGUAGCAAACAGG